GGGAAUUUUCCGCAAUGGGCGAAAGCCUGACGGAGCAAUACCGCGUGAGGGAUGACGGCCUAUGGGUUGUAAACCUCUUUUUUCAGGGAGGAAUCAAUGACGUGUACCUGAAGAAUAAGCAUCGGCUAACUCCGUGCCAGCAGCCGCGGUAAGACGGAGGAUGCAAGUGUUAUCCGGAAUCACUGGGCGUAAAGCGUCUGUAGGUGGUUUAAUAAGUCAACUGUUAAAUCUUGAGGCUCAACCUCAAAAUCGCAGUCGAAACUAUUAGACUAGAGUAUAGUAGGGGUAAAGGGAAUUUCCAGUGGAGCGGUGAAAUGCGUAGAUAUUGGAAGGAACACCGAUGGCGAAGGCACUUUACUGGGCUAUUACUAACACUCAGAGACGAAAGCUAGGGUAGCAAAUGGGAUUAGAUACCCCAGUAGUC
rnacentral:rRNA from 1 species